GCCGCCGUAGCUCAGCCGGUGGAGCGCCGGACUCAUAAUCCGGAGGUCCCGGGUUCGAAUCCCGGCGGCGGCA
rnacentral:tRNA from 1 species